rnacentral:rRNA from 1 species
UACGUAGGGGGCAAGCGUUAUCCGGAUUUACUGGGUGUAAAGGGAGCGUAGACGGCAAGGCAAGCCUGGAGUGAAAGGCGGGGGCCCAACCCCCGGACUGCUCUGGGAACUGUCUGGCUAGAGUGCAGGAGGGGUAAGUGGAAUUCCUAGUGUAGCGGUGAAAUGCGUAGAUAUUAGGAGGAACACCAGUGGCGAAGGCGGCUUACUGGACUGUAACUGACGUUGAGGCUCGAAAGCGUGGGGAGCAAACAGG